rnacentral:tRNA from 1 species
CACAGCAUGUGGGAUCCGGUCACCCGCGGCGUCUACCGGGCGCUGCAGGCGGCGUUCGAGUGGCGGCGCUGGGGCC